AUCUGUGCUUCCACUUUGAGGUGGAACAGUAGGUUAAGGGAGCAUUCCUCAAUUUUGUCUGGAUUCAACGGAAUCGCGGUAGUGUGGAGAAUUAAAGCACUCAAGGUCUCUGGAGGAUCGAUGAAGAGAACGGCAGUUUAAGACAUGGAUAUUGCUGUCGGAGCACAUAUAAAGGGAUGGAAGUUUCUGUAUCUUAACGAUGUUGAGUUCCAGUGUGAAUUGCCGGAGUCAUAUAUGAAGCAUACAGGAAACAAUAACAUCGAUGGCGUUCUGGUCCGGUGUGGUUGUUUAGACUCUGCUUUGUAGACAUUACCAAAUCAAAGAUUGCCAGCCACGAACACAAAGAAGGCGGUACAGAGUGGCGAUGCGUCGAUCAAGGACUGGUGCCAGAAGCGGGGCACCAAGGGGGAGCAUGUGGUGUACACGGCCGAGUUCAUGGUGGAUGCCGGCUUCGGCGAGCCAGGCGCUGGCGUGGUGGCCAUCCGGAACCACCGCGAGUUCUUCCUCGUCGAGGGCAGUGGGCUGCCUUGCGGCACCGUGCACUUCGCCUGCAAAUCCUGGGUCUUCUUAA